rnacentral:rRNA from 1 species
CAGCAGCCGCGGUAACACGUAGGGUGCGAGCGUUAAUCGGAGUUACUGGGCGUAAAGCGGGCGCAGACGGUUACUUAAGCAGGAUGUGAAAUCCCCGGGCUCAACCUGGGAACUGCGUUCUGAACUGGGUGACUAGAGUGUGUCAGAGGGAGGUAGAAUUCCACGUGUAGCAGUGAAAUGCGUAGAGAUGUGGAGGAAUACCGAUGGCGAAGGCAGCCUCCUGGGAUAACACUGACGUUCAUGCCCGAAAGCGUGGGUAGCAAACAGGAUUAGAUACCCCCGUAGUCCCUGUCUCUUAUAC